rnacentral:rRNA from 1 species
UGAGGAAGUUUAGACAAUGGGCGCAAGCCUGAUCCAGCCAUGCCGCGUGGAUGAUGAAGGCCUUAGGGUUGUAAAAUCCUUUCGUUGGGGACGAUAAUGACGGUACCCAAAGAAGAAGCUCCGGCCAACUUCGUGCCAGCAGCCGCGGUAAUACGAAGGGGGCUAGCGUUGUUCGGAUUUACUGGGCGUAAAGCGCGUGUAGGCGGACUUGUAAGUUGGGGGUGAAAUCCCGAGGCUCAACCUCGGAACUGCCUCCAAAACUACAAAUCUGGACCUAAGUAGAGGCAAGUGGAAUUGCGAGUGUAGAGGUGAAAUUCGUAGAUAUUCGCAGGAACACCAGUGGCGAAGGCGACUUGCUGGACUUAUGGUGACGCUGAGACGCGAAAGCGUGGGGAGCAAACAGGAUUAGAUACCCAAGUAGUCCCUGAGCGGGCUGGCAAGGCGCAU